rnacentral:rRNA from 1 species
GACGAACGCUGGCGGCGUGCUUAACACAUGCCAGUCGAACGGAAAGGCCCUGCUUUUGUGGGGUGCUCGAGUGGCGAACGGGUGAGUAACACGUGAGUAACCUGCCCUUGACUUUGGGAUAACUUCAGGAAACUGGGGCUAAUACCGGAUAGGAGCUCCUGCUGCAUGGUGGGGGUUGGAAAGUUUCGGCGGUUGGGGAUGGACUCGCGGCUUAUCAGCUUGUUGGUGGGGUAGUGGCUUACCAAGGCUUUGACGGGUAGCCGGCCUGAGAGGGUGACCGGCACCAUUGGAACGGAGAUACGGCCCGGCCCCCUACGGGGGGAAGCAGGGGGGAAUAUUGAACAAGGGGCGGAGGCCUGAUGCAGCACCCCCGCGUGCGGGAGGACGGCCUUCGGGUUGUAACCCGCUUUCGCCUGUGACGAAGCGUGGGUGCCGUAAAUGGGUAAGGAAGCACCGCCAACCUACGU